AGCCCAGACUCCUACGGGAGGCAGCAGUGAGGAAUAUUGGUCAAUGGUCGGGAGACUGAACCAGCCAAGCCGCGUGAGGGAUGAAGGUACAGAGUAUCGUAAACCUCUUUUGUCAGGGAACAAAGGCGGGGACGCGUCCCCGGAUGAGUGUACCUGAAGAAAAAGCAUCGGCUAACUCCGUGCCAGCAGCCGCGGUAAUACGGAGGAUGCGAGCGUUAUCCGGAUUUAUUGGGUUUAAAGGGUGCGUAGGCGGAAUGCCAAGUCAGCGGUAAAAUCGCGGGGCUCAACCUCGCUCCGCCGUUGAAACUGGCGUUCUUGAGUGGGCGAGAAGUAUGCGGAAUGCGUGGUGUAGCGGUGAAAUGCAUAGAUAUCACGCAGAACCCCGAUUGCGAAGGCAGCAUGCCGGCUUCCGACUGACGCUGAAGCACGAAAGCGUGGGGAUCGAACAGGAUUAGAUACCCUAGUACGC
rnacentral:rRNA from 1 species